rnacentral:rRNA from 1 species
AACGAACGCUGGCGGCAGGCUUAACACAUGCAAGUCGAGCGCCCCGCAAGGGGAGCGGCAGACGGGUGAGUAACGCGUGGGAAUCUACCCAUCUCUACGGAAUAACGCAUGGAAACGUGUGCUAAUACCGUAUACGUCCUUCGGGAGAAAGAUUUAUCGGAGAUGGAGGGGCCCGCGUUGGAUUAGCUAGUUGGUGGGGUAAAGGCCUACCAAGGCGACGAUCGAUAGCUGGUCUGAGAGGGGGGGCAGCCAGACUGGGACUGAGACACGGCCGGGACUCGUGAGGGGGGCGUCAGUGGAGAAUAUUGGGUCAUGGGCGCAAGACUGAUCCAGCCAUGCCGGGGAAGUGAUGAAGGCCCUAGGGUUGUAAAGCUCUUUCCCCGGUGACGAUAAGGACGGUAACCGGAGAAGAAGCCGCGGCUAACUUCGUGCCAGACGCCGCCGUAACAC